rnacentral:rRNA from 1 species
UACGAAGGGGGCUAGCGUUGUUCGGAAUCACUGGGCGUAAAGGGCGCGUAGGCGGCUUUAUAAGUCGGGGGUGAAAGCCUGUGGCUCAACCACAGAAUUGCCUUCGAUACUGUAGAGCUUGAGACCGGAAGAGGUAAGUGGAACUGCGAGUGUAGAGGUGAAAUUCGUAGAUAUUCGCAAGAACACCGGUGGCGAAGGCGGCCAUCUGGACGGUAACUGACGCUGAGACGCGAAAGCGUGGGGAGCAAACAGG